GAUGAACGCUGGCGGCGUGCUUAACACAUGCAAGUCGAACGAACCUUCGGGUUAGUGGCGGACGGGUGAGUAACGCGUGAGAAUCUGCCCUCAGGAGGGGGACAACAGCUGGAAACGGCUGCUAAUACCCCAUAUGCCGAGAGGUGAAAUGAAUUUCGCCUGAGGAUGAGCUCGCGUCUGAUUAGCUAGUUGGUGUAGGUAAUGGCUCACCAAGGCAUCGAUCAGUAGCUGGUCUGAGAGGAUGAUCAGCCACACUGGGACUGAGACACGGCCCAGACUCCUACGGGAGGCAGCAGUGGGGAAUUUUCCGCAAUGGGCGAAAGCCUGACGGAGCAACGCCGCGUGAGGGAUGAAGGCCUCUGGGCUGUAAACCUCUUUUAUCAAGGAAGAAGAUCUGACGGUACUUGAUGAAUAAGCCACGGCUAAUUCCGUG
rnacentral:rRNA from 1 species